UGAGCUUUGGAAGAAUCUUAGGCUUACAUGC
rnacentral:piRNA from 1 species